AAAUCAACAUUAUAACGGCGUAAAGGGUGGUUACAUGCUAUCCAAGUAACUAAGAUUAAAACGCAACUGAGCUGUCAUAAGCCCAAGAUGCCCAUAAGGCCAACUACCAAAGAAGAUCUUAGACUAACGAUUGAUUGAAAUCCACGAAAGCCAGGGCCCAAACUGGGAUUAGAUACCCCACUAUGCCUGGCCCUAAAUCUUGACGCUCUACAUCAACCUGAGCGUCCGCCCGGGAACUACGAGCAUAAACGCUUAAAACCCUAAGGACUUGGCGGUGUCCCAAACCCACCUAGAGGAGCCUGUUCUGUAAUCGAUGAUCCACGAUAUACCUGACCAUUCCUUGCCAGUCAGCCUAUAUACCGCCGUCGCCAGCUCACCUACCCUGAAGGCCCAAUAGU
rnacentral:rRNA from 1 species